rnacentral:lncRNA from 1 species
AUGAACAUUACACUGUUAUUGGGCUUUUCCAACAGGUACCUAAGCAACCAAUACUUUGAGGAAAAGGAUUGCAAAAGAACUAUACUUGAGAAACUGCAUAGCAAAGGAAACACUAAGGGCCAUAAAAACAGCUUCCAAAAUUCCCACAAAAACAUUCAUUUUCAAUUGAUUCUGCAUGAACAUGAUUGUUACUUCAUGAAACUUAAUACCCAUAUGUUCAACACAAUUAGUUGUUCCAAGGCAGGCAAUUCAGUAAUAAACAGCACCAUCCUUUAAAUCAAAACACAAAACAAGGAUGGAACACAAAUUCUGCAUUAUUAUUAGUUUCUUGUUUGAGAAAAUUUCAUUUCAGCAAAGGGAGAACAUUAAAGAACAGCGUGUACUUACGAAGGUAAGUACUUAGAUCUGCUACUCCUGAGCUUCCCUCAGAGAGAAGGGAGAGAAUGAUUUCAGGAGGAGGGGCAGAUGAGAUCCCAGCACACACAGACUGGUAAUGCAAUAGAUGAACUUCAAGGAGCUUGGCAUACAUUUCACUUGACACUGUUUUUUCCUGUACUAUACUUUAAUAAUAUUAAGGAAAAAAACCUAAACUUCAAUGCUGUUAAAAAAGCUAGGAACUUAAUUAUUUUCUAAUCAUUCUAGCAAGUCCAUCUGGCAGCUUCACAACUGCAACGCUUGAAAUCCAAGAGUUUUCCCUUUGCCAGCAAAAGGUGUUCUUAUGGCUAUUGCUGUGUUUGAAAAAUCUACUUGGAAAUUCCAAGUCUCAUUAAAUCACUGACUAAUUUGACAUGAUGGCAAGUAUUCAUAAUGAAUCAGGGACAAAUAAUUUCUCUGAUCACUUUAUGAAAUGUGCACACUCAGAAGUUACCCUAAAAAAAACCCACUCAACCGUUAUGUAAUUAAUAUAAAUAUUGUGUGUUUUACAUAUCCUGCAUUCAGGGAACUACUUUCUCUUUUCUUCCUCAUGUGGCUUUAGCCUGGGCAAUUACUGUGUCUCCUUCAAGCAAGAGAAAUUUAUUUCAAAACACUGAUUCAGAACCCAGUGCUGUUGAAAAGCUGCAUCCUUCCUUCUUCUGUACAGAAUAAAAACAACAGAAGAAUGAUACGAAUGAUAAGA